CUGGACAAUAAUACUAAAUGACAAAUAUUGUGUUACCAUGUUUGGUUACAAUAUUUAAAGAGAAUGGAUCGGGGGACCAUACCCUAAGUAAGUAAUUAGAAAUUAAUACAAAAUCUUGAAACAUAUACGCUAUUUAUUAAACACGGAUUGUUAUGAGUAGUAAUACAAAAAAUAUUUAAAAAAUUGAAAAAAAAAAAAGUUCCACUGAUAAAAGUAAUGGGCACUAUAAGCAGUAAGUUUCUGAUAAGGCUGAUCAGUUGGCACUAACACACAUCUCUUGUUAUGUAUUGAAUUACAUGAAGUUAUCUCUAACAAAUAAUCUUCAACUAUAUAAAUCAAGUAAAACAAACAAAAGUAUUACCUAACCACUCUCAAAUCAAGAAAAAGACAAUGACUAACAUAAUUGGUGUCAACGUAGCAGAAGUAAAUGCGUGUGACCGUCACGUGCAAAUUACGUAUUUCAAAUCCGACGUUUGCCUUUUUAAAAUUGGCACUUUGGACACUUUCGAAUGUAAUAAAAGUUUUUCUACUAACUUUAAAUUUUGUGGUAGUUUUCUACACUUGGUUGAAGGUGAUUUCAAGUUUAAUUUACAUCAUGACAAAACAGUGAGGGCGUGGUCGGGGCCUAAAGUGGACAAUAUCAUGCUCUGACGGAGCAAGACUGGGAUGUGACAAAAUGGUAUCAGAGCCACUAUGCCAUGUGGUGCGAAUGUGCCGACGAGGACGUCGGGCCCCUAAGGGGGUGGAUUGUAACAUCCCACAUCGACCAACGGAGAUGGGAUGAUGUGCCUUAUAUGUACAUGCCCACCUCUAUAUAACACGAGGCCUUUUGAGAACUCACUGGUUUUAGAUUCCAUCAGAACUCCGAAGUUAAGCAAGUUUGGGCAAGAGCAAUCCCAGGAUGGGUGACCUACUGAGAAGUUGCUCAUGAGUUCCCAGAAAUAAAACUGUGAGGGUGUGGCCCAAAGUGGACAAUAUCAUGCUACGACGGAGCAGGUCUGUGAUAUGAUAAGUACUGUGUUUUUUUUUUUUUGGAAUAAACGAUAUUAUCUAUAUUAAAUGAGAGAUGAUGUGCUUAAUCUUACAAUGAGCUAACAAUAAUGUGGUUGAAAUUUACCUUUGACGAGAAUCAAAUCUAGGACAUCUUACUUACAAGUAAAGAGGAAUACUACUGGACAAUAAUACUAAAUGACAAAUACUGUGUUACCAAUUUUUGUUACAAUAUUUAAAGAGAAUGGAUAGGGGGACCGUACCGUAAGUAAGUAAUUAGAAAUUAAUACAAAAUCUUGAAACAUAUACCCUAUUUAUUAAACACGGAUUGUUAUGAGUAGUAAUACAAAAAAUAUUUAAAAAAUUGAAAGAAAAAAAGUUCCACUGAUAAAAGUAAUGGGCACUAUAAGCAGUAAGUUUCUGAUAAGG
rnacentral:lncRNA from 1 species